AUUGAACGCUGGCGGCAUGCCUUACACAUGCAAGUCGAACGGCAGCACGGGAGUAAUCCUGGUGGCGAGUGGCGAACGGGUGAGUAAUAUAUCGGAACGUGCCCAGUAGUGGGGGAUAGCCCGGCGAAAGCCGGAUUAAUACCGCAUGAGACCUGAGGGUGAAAGCGGGGGAUCGCAAGACCUCGCGCUAUUGGAGCGGCCGAUAUCAGAUUAGCUAGUUGGUGGGGUAAAGGCCUACCAAGGCAACGAUCCGUAGUUGGUCUGAGAGGACGACCAGCCACACUGGGACUGAGACACGGCCCAGACUCCUACGGGAGGCAGCAGUGGGGAAUUUUGGACAAUGGGCGCAAGCCUGAUCCAGCAAUGCCGCGUGCAGGAAGAAGGCCUUCGGGUUGUAAACUGCUUUUGUCAGGGAAGAAAUCCUCUGGGUUAAUACCUCGGGGGGAUGACGGUACCUGAAGAAUAAGCACCGGCUAACUACGUGCCAGCCGCCGCCGUAACAC
rnacentral:rRNA from 1 species